UAGGCGAGCACUGCUGCAACUAGCAGGUGGCUAAUCAUGGUUGAUCGACUAAAAACUUUGUAUUAAAUGUUAUUAUUAAUUCUCCAAGUAUUCAAUAGGCUGUCAUGAUAAAACCUAUCCAGAUAAAAAAAAACAUUCUCACUGAAACAAAGCACAUGAUGCAUACAUUUACACAACAGUCGCCAAAAAAGCAUACAUAUUUUGUCUACUUUAGGCCUACUAAAUUAUACGUCACAGCCGGAGCCUCGUUUGAUUCCUGUCAGAAAUUAAAUAUGGCGGCGCUACCCUGACUAAGGUCUAUAGGUCUCACAGCUAGGCUAGAAGCUCUUCACUCAAUGGGAAUUGGCUGCUGCUCGGUUACGUAGCAACGCGGGUUCUUUGACAAGAUGAAGCGCAAUGCAAACACAAGUUCGCGGUCCUCCACGCGCAUUUUACUAGUGAAAAUGCGCCAUGACGCAAAGGAACUUGUCCCAGGACUAACUUUUUUCCCAGGUGGACUGAAGAACCAUGACUGCUGAAAAAGGCUUUAUAGCCAGCCAAUCAGAAUGGAACGGGCAAUUUUUGGAGGCUGAGACGAGAUAAAACGUACUGUAAGUGAGAGCUAAAAGUUUCAAUUUGAACUUCAUGCCAGAGCUUCAGGAAGGUGAAAGCAAGGUGGGAGUCUUACAAACGCAAGGUGCAAGCGAGAAAAAAAGGGAAGAAGAAAAAGAAAACCACACACGCCAUCCAUUGGUCUUUGUAUUGAUUCACAGGGGUGUUGAAAAGGUCUUUGGUCAUGCCCUUACCAAAGCAUACUAAUUUGCUUGAUCAAGUCUGUCAGAAUAUCGACUGGGAGGAGGUACAGCACCCGCCAUUGUGUUUUCUUCAGCGGGGAGCCGGUCUGUGAAACAGGAUUACCAGAGGUCACGCAGGCAGUGAAAGGAUGUCCAUCACUUUCUGUCUGCUAAUACAAAGGGGCGGGAACUGGGACGUGAUUGAGAUGUUGAAGAGAAGAGGAAUGGCAGUUUCAAAAAAGAAAAACAUCUCUUGCAUGCAAAUGUCUCACUGUUAAUGUAUUCAUAGCCAUCUCACGGAGUUUUAAUCACAGGAGAUGGCUGGCUUACAGUUUCCUGUUUUAUUUCAGGCUCAGAAACAGAAGGUUGAAAUUGAACGCUCUUGCCGUGUUCAAAAAAUACAAUGUAACAAAGUUUUAUUGUUUCAGCUUUAUUGUAACAUUUCAUAAAUUUUGACUUUGACAGUGACAAAGAGUUUUACAAAAUUAUUUCCUUAAAAUCAUCAGCUGAAAAAUGAAUUUUAUACGGUAUAAAUGUUUUAAAUGACAGGAAAACAGAAUAACCUCGGAUUAACAUUGCUGUGAGCUACAGCAUUUUCUGUUAUGAUGAGCAAGAUGAAAGUUAUUUAAAUUUGAAUUUAAUAAAAAUGUACUGCAUGAAAGGUCUAAAUUUCAACAGCAACAAAAUGCAUUUCUUUUCAUUUAAUUAAUUUUUUUUCGCUACUUUCAUGAGUUAUUGAAUUUAUUGCAUUCUUUUUGAACUGGCUUGAGCAGAUGAAAAGAUGUACAUUUUACGCUUAGGAAAAACUCUGAACUGUAAAGAAGCUUUUACAAAAAACAAAAAAAAACUUUCAGGUUGUGAGGUUUAUUUGCAAUUUAAUUAUUGUAUCAAUUUAAAUGUUCAUUAUGGUCUGAUAUGACAAACAUGAAAAGUAAGUCCAAAUUUGCCAUAUUGUAUAAAUGUUUCACAGUCACUUUGCCCAACUGUAUGUUCCCCAUGAGCGUGGGGCUCUAUAAAUAACCCAUUGUGUCUGGACUCCUAAUGUUUCCUAAUCUCUGCACACUGCUGAAAUUCUACGCCACAUCAUCCAACAAGCCUCUUUGCUCAACAGUGGUUUUUAUUAUACCCAUUAUUAUAACAAAUAUCCAAUUAUCCAUUAUCUUGUAGAUCUGAUUGUAUACCUCUUUGUGGCGGUAAGGUCAAAUACUCUUACCUCUAUACGUGGAACAUCUGCCCGUGCUUCCUGUCUCAUCUGCAGCCCUCGUGGCCAGCAGCCCUUUUAACCUGAUCACAUAGGUAUUUUGCUUUCAUUCCCCCCCUGCGUUUUGUUUGUUUGAUUGGCUGAGCAGGUGUUUUAUAACCAUUAGAGACUUCAUUGCGACCCUGUCUCUGAGUAGUAAGCAAAUAGAACAAGCAGACAGCCAAGUCAUGCAAGUGAUUUCUUUCCCUCAAUGGAACCAUCUGGUGACUGAGCGAAAGAAAAAAAGGAAGCAUAGGUCAUCAGUGUGGUUGUUUACCUUUGGCUACAUAAUUGUGUUUCGAGGAAAGCGUGAGGUCACGGGCGAGGCUGCCAGUCGGUUCUGCAGGUUUCAAGGGCUUCGUUGGUGUCCUUGUUCAUUGCGAUUUCUUAUUUGUGGAGUCUGUAUUAUUUAAUUAUUGAUAAAAAUUGUAUAUUCCACUUAAUGUCUUAAUAUUUUAAUUGAAUUUUAAUUGAAAUAAAUGUAUUAAUCAUAUGUAUUUUUCUUGUUUAUUAAUAUUAGUUUUGUUAUUUUCUCCCCGUUAUCUUUAGAAACAUCUCUCUUUCCUUUGUUAGUCAAGUGUCCAUCAGUCAAUCAAUGAAUCAUCUCAGCUAUUUGGACCCAUUUUUGUAACUAAAGCAACUGUGACUCCAGCAUCCUGCUCUCGGUGAUGACAGUGGAAAGAUUGAAAUGUUUGUUUUGUGUGUUUUUUUUUCAGUGGUGUCAACAAACAUUCAGAAUAGACAUUCAUCCCUCCUUGUACUGGGCAGACCAUUACGCCACACUACUACAUUUAUUCUUCCACUGGCAUUCAGUAAGCGAUGGUGGAGGUUCCCUAUUCCCAGCCGUGGCCAUCUUCCCAGUUCAAACGCUGAUUAAAGCAGACUACGUGUCACAUCCUGUUACAAUAUGAGCCAGAAUGUGAAAUCCUGGGAGAUUUGAAUAAAGAAUUUUCUCUCCA